UACGUAGGUGGCAAGCGUUGUCCGGAUUUAUUGGGUUUAAAGGGUGCGUAGGCGGCCCGUUAAGUCAGUGGUGAAAGCCUCCAGCUCAACUGGAGAACUGCCAUUGAUACUGACGGGCUUGAGUACAGACGAGGUUGGCGGAAUUGAUUGUGUAGCGGUGAAAUGCAUAGAUACAAUCAAGAACUCCGAUUGCGUAGGCAGCUAACUAGGCUGUAACUGGCGCUGAGGCACGAAAGCGUGGGGAGCGAACAGG
rnacentral:rRNA from 1 species